ensembl:rRNA 5S_rRNA 5S ribosomal RNA
GCCGGCAGCUAGCUCUCUGCAACCCUCAUAUGGUCACCCAUUGAAGCUAAGCAGAGUUGCAUCUGAACAGUAACUGGAUGGGAGACCACAUGGGAAAGCUAGGUUGCUGCCGGAA